rnacentral:tRNA from 1 species
UGACUCGGAGUGGCAGAAAGUCAAACUCAUCAUCGCUUAUGGCCUGCGUCCCCAAUGUAGGUUGCGGACGCAAUCGUCACUCUUAAAAGCCGACAAGAUAGGCGGGCUCGUUUUAGCGCUUACGGUUACGGAAGCGCCCUUCGCGAGAAGGGCGCUUUUUUGUUGGCUCGGGCACGCGCCACGCGCGGUUUCACUCGAGGAUUUGAGCGCUUUUCUUGCAUUCUCGUUAAAGUGCUAGCUGUCUCGAAGAACGGGUCGCCAUGAAGAUCGUUACCCGAAUCAUUCGUAUCGCCUUGCUGCCGCGUUUGCUUGCGCUCGGCGUCUCAGCCCACGCGCAGCGGAUCGAAGCGCAACUCGAUUGCAAGUCCAAUGGUCACGAUUUCAUCGCACCGCUCGUCGCCGGCAAUCUGAUCCAGACGAGGCCGAUGCGCGUUGAGGCGAAUUCCGUCAACGCUUUUCGUUCGGCGAGCGGCGUGUUGCUGACGGCGUACGGUUUCAGGGUGUAUGCGGUGGUGGCGUAUCAGAAGAACGACCCGCUGUUCGAGUACGGCAAGGGCGAGCCGAUCGCCGAUUCGGCGUAUGGCGUGGUGGUCUGGGGCGGGGACGACGAAGUGACGCAGAAAGUGCGCGUGGCGGGCAGCGACGUGGACGUGCAUCAUGUCGCGCCGUUCAUACGGCGAUUUUUUGCAAGCAGUAGGGGUGCGCAUGGCGGUCGCCCGUACCCUGAUCCGAAUUGCGCCCGUGCUCAGCGCAGCAAUUCGUCUACGGAUGCGAUCAACCGGCUCAUUGCGUCCUUGUCGACCGUCCCCAUCGUCGAAAUACGGAACAGCUCCUUCGACAAGCCGCCCUGCCCCGCAUAGAUCACGAAACCCUUGGCUUUCAGCGCGUCGUGAAGAAUCUCGUAGGUAAUGCCCGCAGGCAGCCGAUACGCCCGCAACACCACCGAAGAUUCAUCCGCCGGCAGCACGCUCUCGAUCCCGAGCGUUGCGAGCCCCGCCCGCACCUGCUCCGCCAGAUCCGCAUAACGCCGAUGCCGGGCGCGCCAGCUGCCUUCGUCCUCGAAUUCGCGCAGCGCUUCGACCAGCGCGUAAUACGCAUGCACCGACGGCGUGAAAGGCGUAUUGCGUGCGUCCUGUAACUGCGCCAGCCGCGCGAUGCCGAGGUAAUAGGUCCGGCUCUCGGUCUUCGCGAGCGCAUCGCGGCGAGCGAUCACGAACGCCGCGCCCGGCACGCCGUGCAGGCAUUUGUUUGCCGUCGCCGCCACGGCCGCGAUACCGUCGUUGCCGAAAUCGAUCGCUUCCGCGCCGAAGCUGCUCACCGCAUCGACCAGCAAGCCGAUGCUGCGUGCCGCGCAGGCACGCGACAAUGCGGCGAUAUCGUUCAGUCGCCCCGUUGUCGUUUCGUGAUGAAUGGUCGCGACGUUGGUGAACGUGUCCGCGUCGAGCCGCGCGACGAUCCCAUCGGUAUCCGGCGCCUGCAUCCACUCGUACUUAACGACUUCAUGAUCGAUGCCGUAUUGUUUCGCGAUCUGCGCAAUACGGUCGCCGUACACGCCGUUUUCCACGACGAGCAGGCGCCCGCCGUCCGGCACCAGCCCCGCGAUCAUGCUUUCGACGGCGGCGGUGCCCGAGCCGGUCAUCAGCACGGCACUCCAUUGCGCCGGAUCGAGUUCGUAGGCCGCGACCAGACGCCUGCGCGCCUCAUCCUGCAGAUCGAAAAACUCCGGCUCGCGAUGACACAGAUCGGUUUGCAGCAGACUCUGGCGGACGCGCUCGCUCAGCGUGACCGGACCGGGAUUGAGCAGCAGCAUCAGCGGCCUCCAAGGUGUUGUUGCAAGCGCGCGCACACGUCUUCGGGCGCGAUCUUCGGACGCGGCAGGUCGCCCGGCGUGCCGGUCCUGAUCGACAGACGCGCGAAGCGUGCGCCGUCCACGUCGUGGGCAUCGAACAGACGAUCGAUUAUGCCGAUGUCGUCGCCGUCGAGCGCGAGCGCAUAGCCGCACGCUGACGCGAUCGAUGCGAAAUCGAUCUCGCGCGAAACCGUCGCUUGACCGCCGGUGGAUUCGUGCGCGCCGUUAUUCAGCAGCAAAUGGAUAAGGUUCGACGGACCGUACGCGCCGAGCGUCGAGAACGCGCCCAUACGCAUGAGCGCCGCACCGUCGCCGUCCAGUGCGAUCACGCGCAGAUCCGGACGCGACAGGGCGAGACCCAACGCCAUCGGCGUGACGCAGCCCAUCGAGCCGACCAGAUACAACUGGUUCUCGCGGUCGUCUAUGGCGUACAGUUCGCGCCCGCAGAAUCCUGUCGACGCGAGCACGACGGUCGAAUCCUCGGGCGUCUUCGCGAUGAUUUUCGCGAGCGCGUCAUGACGCGACACGCGUUCGCCUUCGAAGCGCUCCACAGGCGCGGCGCUCACGCCCGAGCGCACGCCCGACAAGCCGGUCUUCUUCAACUCAUAGGGUGCGACGCUGUCCUUCUGCAUGACCAGCGCGUACGGACGGACGGUGCUGUCCAUGUACUCCGUCGCGCGAUCGAGCGCCGGGCCGAUUUGGUCGGCUUCCGUCGGAAACAACUUCCACGGAAUCUCCAUUGUCUCCAGCAUCUGCGGCGUGACCGGGCCCAUCAGUGCGUGUUGCGGCUCGUCGUGCACGCCGGGCUGGCCGCGCCACGUGACGAUCAGUAACUGCGGCAGAUGGAACGUCCACGUGAGCGAGGUCAGCGGGCUCACCGCAUUGCCGAGUCCGGAGUUCUGCAUCAUCGCGAUACCGCGCCGCUUCGCGCUGCCGAAGCUCGCACCGCCCAGCGCCACGCCGGCAAUCAGCGCGACCGCAUCGCCCUCGUUCGCCGCCGACACAUAGUGCAGCGACUCGUCCUGCAACACAUAGUUGAUGAACGGCGUCAGAAACGAGCACGGCACGCCCACAUACCAGUCGAAGCCCCGCUCGCGCGCGGCCUCGACGAACUGAGCGGCUUCAAUCACGCGUGUUCUCUGUACUUUCCGAGCCGAUGGGCGUUUGACCGUGCGCGAAGUCGCCCGCGCGACGGAAGUCGUCGAGGUCGUUCACGCCGCGCCAGUGGCCGUGCACGUAUUGCACUUCGAUUUUCUGAUCCGCCGCUAGCAGCGCGUUGAGCAGCGCCGCCAUGUCGAACUUGUCGAAACCGGCGCGUGCCUCGAGGGUGUCGAGCGUCGCGAGCAGUCGCUCGCGCGUACCCGCCCGCACGUUGAUGAGACCGAUCCAGCGCCCUUGCGGCGCGCGGCCGUCCGCCAGGCUCUGGCCCGCGCCCACGACGCUUUCCAGCCACACUUUCUGGCCGAACAGCGCGCGGUCGUCGGCGGUCGAGCAGUAAGCGAAAUCGGUGGCGGGCUCGCCCGGCUGCGGCGUUUGCGACGAAUCGAUCACAACCGUGAAGUCGCUCUCCGUCUCCACGAGAUCACGCAGGAUAUAGCUGCGGAACAGCAGAUCGCCGUAGGAGAUGACCGUAUCGCCGUUCAUAUGCUUCACGGCGCAUGCGAGCGACGCGAGUUCGCCUGUCGUCUCAUGCUGCUCGUUGACGACGAGACGAAUGCCGCCCUUCUCGAUCGCAUCGGAGCGGUAACCGCCGACCACGGUGAUGUCGUUGAUGCUUUCCUUCUUGAAUGCCUCGAGCAGAUGACGCAGCAGCGGCUUGCCUGCGACCGGCAGCAUCACCUUGGGACGGUUGGCGGUGACGGCUUCCAGACCAGCUCCACGGCUCGCCGCGAGCACGACUGCGCUGCGCUUCUCGUUCGCCGCGGACAGAUAGAUGUUCUCGGCGGCGGAAUACUCGUCGGCAUCCUGCAGACGGAAAAUCUCGUUCACCGACGCGAUGCGGUCUUCCACGUUGACGAGCGUUUCGCUGUCGUGGAUUUCCUUGGCGAUGGCCUGCAUCGCCGAGACCGAGCCGCGAAUCAGAUGGUUCGCCCAGAUUACGCAGGAAAUGCCCGCCUGGCGGAACACGUCGGUCGACGUGCUGUAGUACUUGGUCGGCACGAUGACGAGCGGACCGCGCCCGGCCCAUUCACGCGCGAACGUGAGGAUUUCGUCGGGCUUCGAGAGCUUCGAGUGAAUCAGGAUCGCGUCCGCGCCCGCCUGCCGGUAGGCCUCGGCGCGCUUGAGCGCCUCUUCCAUGCCCCAGCCCACGAUCAACGCUUCUACACGCGCGACGAUCGAGAAAUUCGGAUCGCUCUGCGAGUCCUUGCCCGCCUUGAUCUUGCCGCAGAACUCGUCCAUAUCGGCGAGCGGCUGCGCUUCGCCGUUGAUGAAGCUGUUGAGCUUCGGAAACUGCUUGUCCUCGAUGCACACGCCCGUGAUGCCGCGCUGCUCCAGCUUUUUGACGAGCCGGCGCACGUUGUUGAAGUUGCCGUAGCCGGUGUCGCCGUCGAGCAGGAUCGGCAGAUCGCUCGCGUCAGCCAUGAAUUCGAGGUUGUCGACGACCUGUGUCCAGCUCGCUUCGUUGUUGUCGCGCACGCCGAAUUGCGCCGAAAUCGACAGGCCCGAGCCCCAGAUCGCCUUGAAGCCCGCUUCCCGCGCGAUGCGCGCCGAGAUGCCGUUGUGCGCUUCCAUCAGGAAUUCGAGGCGAUUGCUUUGCAGCAUCUCGCGCAGGCGCAGCGUUCGCGAAUAGCCGACCGGAAUUUGUGUGGGUGCGUUCAUUGUUGCGAUGCUUCUGCAAACUGACUCAGCGUAUUGAGCGACGGCAACACUUCGUCCGCCGCGCGCUUCACGUCGUUCUGAAAAUCGAUUUCGAUCCAGGGUGCGCCGGUCACAUCGGCGAUAUCGAACACGUGGGACGGGGUGUGUAAGUUCUCCAGCAAAAGAUCGCACACGGCUUCCUCGUGCGGCAUCUUCGCGCGGCCGCUCGCCACGUAAUCCGCGCAGAUUUCGGCCAGACGCGUGGCGGUCGCGUGAUCGAAACGGAAAAAGCCCACCGAUUCGCCGAUGAUGUCGUACGUGAGGUCGGUCGCCACCUGCUUGCGCAAUUCGACCGGCACGCCGUUCUCGAUGCACAGCUUCACGGGCUCGUUGCCGGCUUCGAAGUCGCGGUCGAUCAGCAGGCGGUUCACGCUGCCGCCCGCCACCAGCGGCUCGACAAUGCGCUCGUCGUAGAGCACGUCGGCGUCCAUCAGAAGGACGUCGCCGCCGCGCGUCAUGGCCUCGCGCGCGGUAUGCACGGAGAGCGCGCUGCCGAGCGUGAAUUCAUCGUUGACGACGAUUUCCGUUUUCGGCUUCCAGUCGAUGGCAUCGAGUUCGGCUUCGAUCUGCUCGCUCUUGAAGCCGGUCACGAAGACCACUUCAUCGACACCCGCGGCCUUCAGGAAGUGCAGAUGACGUUCGAGCAGCGAUGCAUCGCCGAAACGGAGCAGGCAGUUGGGCUUCUGUUGGCCUUCGGGCUGAACGAGCCGCAAGCCCAUCCCGGCCGCAAGAAUGAUUGCGCGCAUGGUUAUUUCCCUUCGAGGGGGAUCAGUCAAUAUCCGGCACGCGCGCGAGUCGGCGGCGCUGCCAGCCUUUUUCAACUAAAUGCAGAUAGACGAUGCCCGGUACGCCGAGCAGCAGUUCCCGCGCGCGCUUGACGAGCGACAGCGCGAGCGCUGUUUCCGGCGGCAAACCGACCAUUUUCGCGAGCAGCAGAUAGCCGCCUUCCUGCACGCCGAGCGAGCCGGGAAUCGCGAACGCCGCACCCCGAAUCGCCUGGCCGAGACUUUCGAGCAGGAGCGCUUCCGUCCAGCCGACCGGGUGGCCGAGCAGGCUCAGCGCUAGCCACACUUCACCGGUGCCGACGACCCAGCCGACGAAACUCAGGCCGAAGCUCGCCGCCACCCGACUGCGCUCGCGAUACAGAUCGUGGACCGCGGCAUCGACUGCUUCGGCGCGCGUGACGAGCGAAGACCAGUCGCGCUUCGCGGAAAACUUCGCAGCGAUGCCGGAGGCGAGCCGCAUCGCACGGCCGAACAGGCCGCGCCGUUGCGCGAGAUAGAAACCGUAGAUCAUCGCGUCGAUCACGCCGAUCACCGCCAGCAGGGCGAUGGUCAGCGUCGACGUGGAGCCGCCCGCCGCGUGAGCCGUCAGCAGCGCCACGAUCAGCGCGAAGAUCAGUUGCACGACGGUCUGCAUCGUCGUGCUGAUGGUGAUGACGGCGGCGGCAUCGCGCGCGCAUGCCGCGUUGCGCGAGGUAGCGGACCAUCAGCAUCGGGCCGCCGAUCUGUCCGGCGGGCAGCAGGCUAUUGACCGAUUCGCCCGACCAGCGCGCGAGCAGCGCGUCGCUCAGACUGACGCUGCGCUCGUUGCGUGAGAAGAGCACGCUGAUCGCGCCGGCAUCGACGAUGAGUGGCCCGAGAUGAAACGCGGCCACUGCGACCAGACUCCAGCGCCGCCGCGGCGAGCGUUGCCGCCACGGAACCGAAGCCUUGCCAGCCGAGCAGCGCGACGAACAGCACCACGCCGACCGACAGCAGAAAGGUGCCGGCGCGGCUCAUGCGUCUCCGUUUUUGCCGCCCUUGCGGCGAAAGACCUGCCCGAAGCCGAAAUAGGCGAUCGAGUCCUUCAUGUUCGAAAUGAAGCGCUUGAAGGGCUUCAUGUUCGGGUCGGUGACGUAUUCGAACGUGAGCGAUACGCGCAUCUCGUUUUCGCCGAGCGGCGUGACGCGAUGGCGCAGUUUGUUGCCGUCGAAGAACACGAAGCCGCCCGGCAGAUACUGCACUGAGCCAGGCUGAUCCGGCACCGCUGGAUUCUUCGUGUGCAAUUCGUAAUCGAGCCGGCAGGAGGAAUCGUCGAUCACGCCGAGCAACAGCGUGUAGCGGCGGCCGUCGUAAUACGAGGUGUCGUAAUGCCAGCCGAUGUGAUCGCCCGGCUUCGAGUAGAAAUACAGCGCGUAAGCGUGCGGAUCGUCGGCGGGCGAGAGUUGAAGUUUGUCGUCGGAGAUCGUCUCCAGCCACUUGAUCAGCGCGGGCAAACGGUACAAAUCGGCGAUGAACGGCGCGAGAUUGUCGAUGUUAUGGCUGCUGACGCUGCCGCCCGCUUUGUGGCCCGGCAGAUAGUUGCGGUUGAUCGCGGGCGUCACGUCCUUCACCGCGGCGAUCAGCCUUUCGGUGAAUUCGCGCGGCAGGAAGUCUUCGAUAUAGAGAAACGAACCCUGCUUCUCGUAAUCGCCGCGCAGCCCCGUCGUCUUCAACUCGGCGAGACGCCUGAGCGUCGCGUCGAUUUCGCGCGCGCUCGGACGGGCGGGCUGCGUCGUCUGCGGGUCGGGGAAAGUCGUGCCGAAGGGAGUUGCCGUAUCGCUCAUCUCACCGCCUGGAAGUCGUUGCCGUCUUUGCCGCGCGCGGUCUUCGUGGUUUGGGUCGCGCUGCGUUGCAGACAGCGCGUGACGCGCGCGUAAUCGAACGCGACAUACACGGCGAACAGCGGCGCGCCGAUGGCGGCGGCGAACAGGAACGGCGUCAUGCCGUUCAGCACCGUGACGAGCGGCAGUAGAUAUAGCACGUCUCCCGUCUCGAAACCGGCCACCGACGCCUGCUUGGUGCCGGACUUGCCGACCAUCGACUCGAUGCGCAUGCGCAGGAAGAAAAUCAGCGUGACCGCCACGCCCGCGAUGCCGCCCAGCCAUUGCGCGGGCACGAACAGAUCGGGAUGAUGCACAUGCACGUAAAAGCCGAUGCCGACGAACAGCAGCACGGUCACGAGCGCGUCGCACGCGAGGUCGUAAAAGUGUCCGAUCUUACUCGACUGUCCGCUGAUGCGCGCGAGCUCGCCGUUGGUGUGAUCGACGAAAUUCGAUAGCGCGAUCAGCAACGCACCGAGCGAACACAGCCAGAACUGGCCGAGCGACAAAUAGUACGCACCGCCAAGACCGAUUGCGAGGCGCAAGGUGGUCAGAUGAUUCGGCGUGGUCAGCGUACCGAGGAGCGGCGUGACGAGGCGGCGGGCAAGCUGCGCGUCCCAUUUAGUGGGCGCUGGAACGGCUUUGGGAAGGGGCGGACACGAUUUUGUCACGAUCGCGAAUAUAGCCUGAUUCUUAGGAAUCUGCAUAUAUUGCGGAUCGCCCUAAGGGAGGACGGCUAACCCCGUGCCAUCAAGCGUGACAGCCAUUCAUGAAACAUUCGUGAAUAGUGCUUUGCUAAUGAACGCCGAAAGCCAACGGAAAUUAUUGCCGGAACCUCCGGCGUUCAUUGAGGGCGCCUGACGCGCAGAGUCAUUCGGCCUUGGGCGCGCUCGUUCGAAUUGAGCACCGCCGACGCCUCGUUGCCCAUGCCGCCGUUUUUAUCGACGGGAAUCGUCACCGUGCGCACCGUGCCGUUGCCGAGCGGGAAGUCGGCGCGCGCGCUGCGUGCGAGAUACGGCAUCGCGUCGUAGAGCGAGGUGUCGUCGGUCAAGUUCACCGCCAUCACCUUGUAGACUUCGCGGCCCAUCGCGCGAUCCGUCAUGCGAAUCUGCAGCGCAUGGAUAUAUACCGGGUAACUCUGAUCGACGUAACCGGUCAGACCCCACGGACCGUACAUCGGCCAUGGAUCGUAUAGACGGACUAGCGCACUGUCAUUAUGUCGCCGCGCACGGAAUACGCAAGCGCCACCUGAUAAUGCGCACCUGCCUCCGGCACUUGCCUGAAGUUGUACUUCGACAGUUCCCCUGCGACGAACGUCUCGUAAGUCGUCUGCUCGAUGCUGUUCGCCUGCUCGCCGUUGCGCUGGAACGGGUAGGUGCGCGUCGCGUUGCUCGCGUUGCCGUUCCAGUUGGAGAACGCCGUGACCUGCGUCUGCACGACCUACGUGCAGACGCAGGUCACGGCGCGCAAAGCACCAGCGACGCGUGCAUCGCGGCGGCGCGGCUGGCUUUCCCUGUUCUUCCCGUUCUUAAGAUGGCAAAAUUCAUGGCCGUCCUCACCUCGAUGACUGUCCUGCCCGUUUAUGGAAUGCGCCGCCGCGUUGUCAUGUGACGGCGUCCAUUUUGUGGGGUCGCUUCGCUUUGCGCUGCCCGAUUCACGAUCUCCGGGCGGCUUGUACAAUGGUUCGACCAGCCACGUGCGUUCGUGCCGCAUUCGUGCCGACGUCUCGUGACACGCGCCGCCGCUUCACUCAUUUUGACGAUUUUGCCAUGUCCAACACGACCGCAGCCACUUCAUCAGCCGUGAUCCGCCGCCAGGACUACAUGCCGCCCGCGUUCCUGAUCGACUCCGUCGCGCUCGAGUUCGACCUCGUGCCGUCGCGCACCGUCGUCCGGAACACGAUGCGGCUGCGUCGCAAUCCCAACGCAUCGGGCAAUGCCGUCGUGCGCCUGGAGCUGAUCGGCGAGCAGCUCGAGUUCGUGAGCGCGUCGAUCGAUGGCGUCGCCUGCACGGAUGUCCGUGUCAGUGAUAACGGACUGUCAAUCGGCAAUAUUCCGGGCGAUGCCUUCGAACUGUCGAUCGAAAACAUCUGCAAUCCGGCGGCGAACACCACGCUCUCGGGCCUGUAUGUCUCGAGCGGCAACUUUUUCACGCAGUGCGAGGCGGAAGGCUUUUGUCGCAUCACGUAUUUCCUCGACCGUCCGGAUGUGAUGGCGACCUUCACCGUCACGCUGCGCGCGGACAAGGACGCCUAUCCGGUGCUGCUGUCGAACGGCAAUCUGACCGAGGAAGGCAAUCUGCCGGACGGCCGUCACUUCGCCAAAUGGGAAGACCCGUUCAAGAAGCCUAGCUACCUGUUCGCGCUGGUCGCAGGCAAGCUGGUGUGUAUCGAGGAGCGCAUCAAGUCGGGUUCGGGCAAAGAUAAGCUGUUGCAGGUGUGGGUCGAGCCGCACGAUCUCGACAAGACCCGCCACGCAAUGGAUUCGCUGAUCCACUCCAUCCGCUGGGACGAAAAGCGCUUCGGGCUGGAACUGGAUCUGGACCGCUUCAUGAUCGUCGCGGUGAGCGACUUCAACAUGGGCGCGAUGGAGAACAAAGGCCUUAACAUCUUCAACACGAAGUACGUGCUGGCCAAUCCCGAGACCGCGACCGAUAUCGACUUCUCGAACAUCGAAGCCGUGGUCGGCCAUGAGUAUUUCCAUAACUGGACCGGCAAUCGCGUGACCUGCCGCGACUGGUUCCAGUUGAGCCUGAAGGAAGGUCUGACCGUGUUCCGCGAUCAGGAAUUUUCCGCCGACAUGGCCGCGGGCGACGUCGAUGGCGCGGCCAGCGCCGCCGCGCGCGCGACCAAGCGCAUCGAGGACGUGCGCGUGCUGCGUCAGAUGCAGUUCGCCGAGGACGCCGGUCCCAUGGCGCAUCCGGUGCGCCCAGAAAGCUACGUCGAGAUCAACAACUUCUACACUAUGACCGUCUACGAGAAAGGCUCGGAAGUCGUGCGGAUGUAUCAGACGCUGUUCGGCCGUGACGGCUUCCGGCGCGGCAUGGACCUGUACUUCCAGCGCCACGACGGUCAGGCCGUCACCUGCGAUGACUUCCGUGCCGCGAUGGCCGACGCCAACCAGCGCGAUCUCGCGCAGUUCGAGCGCUGGUACAGCCAGGCGGGCACGCCGCGCGUCUCGGUGCGAGCGAAGUACGACGCCGCGAACAAGCGCUACACGCUGACGCUUUCGCAAGGCUACGGCGACGGCUCCGAAGUCGCUCGCGAAACGCAGAAAGGCCCGUUGCUGAUUCCGUUCGCAGUCGGCCUGCUCAGCGCGAACGGGUCGGACCUGCCGCUGCGCCUCGAAGGCGAAAAGGAGCCGAACGGCACCACGCGCGUGCUCGAGUUCACGGAGCGCGAGCAGUCGUUCACCUUCGUCGAUGUGAACGAAACACCGUUGCCUUCGCUGCUGCGCAAUUUCUCGGCGCCGGUGAUCGUCGAGUUCGACUAUACGAACGAACAACUCGCCUUCCUGCUCGCGCACGACAGCGAUCCGUUCAACCGCUGGGAAGCCGGUCAGCGGCUCGCGACGCGUGAAUUGCUCGGGCUGGCCGAGCGUGCCUCGAAGGGCGAAAUGCUCAGUCUCGACGACGACGUGAUCGCCGCCUUCGCCCGCGUGCUCGACGACACGAUGCUCACGCCCGCGUUCCGCGAACUUGCGCUGAUGCUGCCCUCGGAGAGCUAUCUUGCCGAGCAGAUGAGCGUGUCGGAUCCGGCCGCCGUGCACGCGGCGCGUGUGUUCAUGAGCCGGCGUCUCGUGUCGGCGCUGCGCGACAAGUGGCUCACGCUGUACGAGGCGAACCGCACGCCCGGCGAAUAUCGCCCGACGCUUGAAGACGCCGGCAAGCGCAACCUGAAGAAUCUCGCCCUCGCCUAUCUCGCGCAGACCGACGAUCCGGGCGAAGCCGUCAAGCUCGCGCAGGCCCAGUACGACAGCGCGAACAAUAUGACCGACCGUUCGGCGGCGCUGUCCGCGCUGCUGCUCGCAAGCGCGACCAAGGGCGCCGAUCCGACCGUCGCCAAUGCGGCGCUCGAGGACUUCUAUUGCCGCUUCGAGAAAGAAGCUCUCGUCAUCGACAAGUGGUUCGCGUUACAGGCCACGCAGCGCGGCGGGCCGGACCGCAAGGUCAUCGAGAUCGUGUGCAAGUUGAUGCAGCAUCAGGCGUUCACGUUGAAAAACCCGAACCGCGCGCGUUCGCUGAUAUUCAAUUUCUGCAGCGGCAAUCCGGCGCAAUUCCACGCGCCUGACGGCUCGGGCUACGCGUUCUGGGCCGAACAGGUAAUUGCGCUCGACGCGCUGAAUCCGCAAGUCGCGGCUCGCCUGGCGCGCGGCCUCGAACUGUGGCGCCGCUUCACGCCGCAAUUGCGCGAUAAAAUGCAUGCAGCGUUGACCGAAGUCGCAGCGAAAGCCAAGUCGCGCGACGUGCGCGAGGUCGUGGAGAAGGCGCUUGCCGUUUAAGGGCUGUUUCGUCAAAACUUUUUGCUGUUUAGCGGCCGCCGCGCGAGGAUCUUGCGCGGCGGCUAUUCUCGCUUAUGGCGGAUGCACGCGGACGCUAUCACAAGGAGUGCCCGGUGCCAGCGGUUAGAAUCGUGAAUAUUCGUCUAACGCUCACGGAGCCUCGCAUGUCCUCCAUCUCAAGCCGCACUACGCUCACCAAGUAUCUGAUCGAGCAGCAGCGCGAACACCAGAAUCUUCCGGCCGACCUGCGUCUUCUGAUCGAAGUCGUCGCGCGCGCGUGCAAGCAGAUCAGCUACCACGUGAGCAAGGGCGCGCUAGGCGAUGCGCUCGGCAAUGCCGGCAGCGAAAACGUCCAGGGUGAAGUGCAGAAGAAGCUCGACGUGAUGUCGAAUGAAAUCCUGCUCGAAGCCAAUGAAUGGGGCGGCAACCUGGCUGCGAUGGCAUCGGAGGAAAUGAAAAAGAUCUUCCCGAUUCCGAAUCGCUAUCCCAAGGGCAAUUAUCUGCUCACGUUCGACCCGCUCGAUGGUUCGUCGAACAUCGACGUGAACGUGUCGAUCGGCACGAUCUUUUCGGUGUUGCGCUGCCCUGACGGCGUCGAGCCGACCGAACAGGCGUUCAUGCAGCUGGGCUCGCAACAGGUCGCGGCGGGUUAUGCGGUGUACGGCCCGCAGACCGUGCUCGUGCUGACGACGGGCAACGGCGUGAACUGCUUUACGCUCGAUCGCGAACUGGGUUCGUGGGUGCUCACGCAACGGGAUAUGAAGAUCCCGACCGAAAUGCGCGAGUACGCGAUCAACGCGUCGAAUGCGCGUCACUGGUAUGAGCCGGUGCAGCGUUACGUCGGCGAACUCAACGAAGGCAAGGACGGCCCGCGCAAGGAAGACUUCAACAUGCGCUGGAUCGCAUCGAUGGUGGCCGACGUGCAUCGCAUCCUGAGCCGCGGUGGCAUCUUCAUGUAUCCGGCCGACAAGCGCGAUCCGUCGAAGCCCGGCAAGCUGCGUCUGAUGUACGAGGCGAACCCGAUGUCGUUCAUCGUCGAACAGGCCGGCGGUGCGGCGACCAACGGCGAGCAGCGCAUCCUCGACAUCGUGCCGACGAGUCUGCAUCAGCGCGUCGCCGUGUUUCUCGGUUCGAAAAACGAGGUCGAUCGUGUGACCCGUUACCAUCUCGAGAAGAAGAAUUGAUUCGAGGGUUUGCGGAAACGAGAAAUUUGUCGCUAUAAUUUCAUUUCUGUGAUG